UACAGAGGGUGCAAGCGUUAAUCGGAAUUACUGGGCGUAAAGCGUGCGUAGACGGUUAUGUAAGUCGGGUGUGAAAGCCCCGGGCUCAACCUGGGAAUUGCAUUCGAGACUGCAUAGCUAGGGUGCGGAAGAGGGAAGCGGAAUUUCCGGUGUAGCGGUGAAAUGCGUAGAUAUCGGGAGGAACACCAGAGGCGAAGGCGGGUUACUGGGCUGAUACUGACGCUGAUGCGCGAAAGCCAGGGGAGCAAACGGG
rnacentral:rRNA from 1 species